UAAUCUGGGUUUGUGAUCUGCCUCCUCUCCUGCAUGAAUCUUAAUGUGGUGACCCCGUCUCUGCAAGCUAAAUUUCAUCAGCCUUUUGCAGCUUGUGCUCAUCUUUCCAAAUACCAAAGGUUAUUUUGUCCGCGUGACUUUCACCAUUUUCAUUAGCUCCUAUUAAAUCUGCCCUCUAACUCGUUCUGAUUAGAUGUGACCAGCAUACUGAUGUUCUUUGCAUGUACACAGUCUAUUUCUGUCUGCGGCCCAUUUUUUGCACAUCAGGCUGUGUUUGCAGGUAAUCCUGCAGAUGUGGCACUGAGGUGCAUC